rnacentral:lncRNA from 1 species
ACUCUCAAUGUGUGAAGAACUUAGAAGAAGAAACAGUUCUAGAACAACAAUUGAGGGAUUUUCCUAGAAAAUUCACAGGAAAAUCACAGUAACCACAGAGAAAAGGAAGAAGAAGACUCUAACAAACUUUUUGAUCUUUUUCGAUAAUUCUCCAAGUGAAAGCUUCUUCUGUUUUUAUACUUCUUGUUGCUCUCUUUCAUUUAGCUGACGUGUCCAGUGACGUACUUAUAGCAUUCCCUGUAUCA